rnacentral:rRNA from 1 species
UACGUAGGUGGCGAGCGUUGUCCGGAUUCAUUGGGCGUAAAGCGCGCGCAGGUGGUGCGGUAAGUCUGUCGUGAAAUCUCCCGGCUCAACUGGGAGGGUGCGGUGGAGACUGCCGGACUGGAGGCACUCAGAGGCCGGUGGAAUUCCCGGUGUAGUGGUGAAAUGCGUAGAGAUCGGGAAGAACACCCGUGGCGAAGGCGGCUCUCUGGGACGGUACUGACGCUGAGACGCGAAAGCGUGGGGAGCGAACAGG